GACCAUACAGAAUUUAUAGAUUCUUCCCUGAUAUAGCCUAACUUCCUGACUAGUUCCUAGUAAAAACACUAAUGGAGGUAAGUCUACAGAGCUAUGCUAGAAAGAGCAACUUUCUUCUGCUGAAAGCACACAGAUGUCCUAAAAAUAUGCACUUUAGAUCUUCUUUAGAUCCCAAAAUGAGCCCAAGAAGGGAGUUUUCAUGUUAUAAAUAGAACUCUAUUGAAAAAAAUGGCUAAGGCCUUCUAUAGUUUUCACCACUAGAACUGAGUUUCCGUUGGUAGUGACAGAUGCUACGAGGCACAAGGAACAGGAAGCAGGUUCUCCUUUGAUGGGCCUAAUUUGGUCUUGUUUCCUCACAUUCUUCAACCCAUCUCCUUCCCCAGGAAAAAGGUCUAGCUUC
rnacentral:lncRNA from 1 species